GAUUCCUGACAACACUGUUGGCUUCCCGGAGACUCCUUCAUCCUGCAGAAGAUGCAAUUCCACGGGGUCCUGAGAGAUUGGACAUGGGUGGGAUGUGGCAGUCCUCAUGGAAGACUCUUGAACAAGUGUCGCAACAGAACAGCUCCCCUCCGUCCCGGCACACCUCACACUCAUCCAAGUUUCUCAUCUAGAAGACAUCUGGCUGUGGGCUGUGAGACAUAAACCUCCAUGUCAAGCUCAUACAAAAUCAGCCACGCAAACACUGACCUCCAGGGCUGUUUUAACCAUUCGUGAGUCCCUGAGUUGGCCGGGCAUCAAAAUCAGUGUGGAAAAGACCUAAAUCUGAUUGGAGGACUGCUUUGGAGGUUCUCAUUCACACCCAGUCUUCGAAAAACCAUCACCUUGUCCUGAAUCUACACUGCACUUAACCUAUUUGUUUGUUGCGUUCUUAAGUGAAGGAAAAAUCACUUUCACAGAUAAAAAGCAGGUCUGCACAGUCCCUCUGGUAGAACCAAAGAGGUG